UGCUUGAAUUUGAUGUGGGGGGGGGGGGAGGUUUGUCAAAGUUCAAAAGGGUUUGACAAAAGAAACAUAAGAAAAACCCACUCAUUCUCAACAGCAGCAGCAGCUGCUUCGUUCCUACCUUCCUUCCUUUUCCAUCUCCCUUUCUUUCAUUCUUACUUUACUCUCUUUCAGUCUCUCUUUUCCACAUACAUGAUCUUUACACAUGUGUGUCUGCAAUGUGUGUGUAUGUGUGUGUGUGUGUGUAAUUGCAGGUAGCGUUGGAGUGGGCACAGUGAGUUGGGUUAUGGAGCGGGUAAGGUGGGUGGAUGCUGUGAAGAGAGGGUGCCAUGGAAACAACAUCCUGUAGAGCUGAGCCUUGCCCUUUGAAUGGAGGAGAGGGAGGUGGAAGUCACCAAAGGAGAAGAGAAUAGACAGGCAAGGAGAGGCAAAGACAAAAGGGUGCAGAGAUGGGGGAUGGGGUGGGGCUUUAAUUGUGGUUUUGAGGAGAGGAGAGGAGAGGAGUUGAGAGAAGAGUGGUGGUGGAUUAGUGCUUGAAAAUUCUUGUGCCAUCCCAGACCCUGCACUCAAACCUUUCAAGUGUGUGUGUGUGUUUGUGUGAGUGUGUGUGUGUGUAUGUGGAGGGAGCCAUGAGGGGCUCUAUGGUGUAAUUGUUGGCUGAUAGAAGUGCCCAAUUCUCCAAAUCAGGUUUACAAGAAGACAAUCACUGGUGGUGCUGCUGGGAGUGCAGCUUUAUUAUUACUCUACACUGCUGCACAAAAGUUCUAGUCAGAGAGAAGUUGUAGAGACAUACAGAGAAAGUUCUAUUGUGGAGUAUUCUCUCUUCACGAACACAUACACUUACACUUGGAGAGGGAAGAGAUUUUUAUUGUAUUUUAUUUUAUGUUUUCUUUGUUGCUAGUUUUCUUUUUUCUUCUUCUGCUUGUGUGUUUCAUGAAACUGGCAACACAGGUAGUUGUUUUAAAAUAUGUGUAUGUGUGUUUUUUUAUGUUUUGGUCAGUGAGCUGAGCUGUGCAGCAUCUACUGGGUUUCUGAGAGGCAGUCCUUCAUGUAGUAAUGGAGAUAGUUGCCCAGAAAUGGGAAAACUGAACAUAGAAGUAAAACAAAAAUGAAAUGAAGGAAAGUAGAACAUCCAAUAAGGAAGCAAUAUAUGUUACUUCUGCCUUAAGAUUAUCUAAAUUUUUGUGUACUGCUGUGGCUCAGAAGGAGCAUUAUUACUAUUAUUAAUAUUGUCAUCAUGACUGUAUAAUUAUAUUGCUCACAUCAUCACAUUGAUUUUGUGCUUUCAGGGAGUAAAAACGGUUGAAGUCCUCAAGGAAUGGGAGAAGAAGCAGAAAAGGGUUGAUUCUCAAGACAUGAUGAACAAGCUCAAGAUCUGAUAUGUUACUAGGAUUUGAUGAGCAAAGCAUGUACCCACAUAAGCAGCUCAGCAAGUUAUCUACAAUUACAGUUCCAGAGAACAUGAUGAAUGCAGCUUAUUUCAAAAAUUAGUGUGCAGGAUUAAAAACGUGGGUCUGAUUGUGUCAGGUGCCUAGUUUUGCUGGCUGCAGGAAUUGGACAUCAUUUGAUUGUCUCAUUUAAGACUGACUAAAUAUCUCAUUGGCCGAGUCCAAAGGUAUUAUUAUUGUUCUUACUUCUGCUGUGUGAGGGAGAAAGAACGAGUUUUCUCAUUGGUCUAACGUUGCAUGCUCGAGCCUGGUACUGGCGCCGAAACGAGGUCGUUGCUGCUCAAAUCUCCCACUUAAACCCCCCAAAUCUCUGGUCUGCAUCCUUGAUUCUAUUGUCUUUUUCCUUUUGCUUGUUGGUGGUGGUGGGAAAGGAGAGUUUUUUUUGCUUGUAAGUGGGUGUGAGUAUUUGUCUCUUGUAGCUGACUACCUGAAUCAUGUUGAAGUGGUGAUCUUGGAGAGCAGAUUUAGCCUUAGGGUGAUAAUGGGUGAAGGCCAAGAUGAGCCCAGAGUAACCUGCUGAUGAGCACUACAGCAGACCUGUACAUGACACAUUUAUUUUGCUAGGCGUUGGAGUUGUACUCCUGGUAAACCGUGGCUGGCAUGGCUGCCUCCCACCUCUUUAAUGAUGAGUUGUGGCAAUGGCUUUCUACUCUCGCUCUCUCUCUCUCUAUUCUCCUACUGUCGAUGGACACUAUAUAUACUCUCACUGUCCGGCCCUUGUCUUCCAUUGUUCCAUGGAUGCAGCAGUUAAACUUGCACAGCUCUGAGUACUCUUCGUUUGUUUAGGUUUCAAUAUCUUCAGCUGUGGGUCCGUCACCUAGACUCGUCGCGUGUUUCCAUAAGCCAGAGCCACUGAUUCCGAGCAUUAAGAAUGGCUGAUAUGUGCUCUCAGACUGCUAUUUCUCGUUGUGAAGGUGUAUGAUUUCAUUUUUUUGUUUCCUUGUCUUUUUGUUUGCGUCUCAGUAGAAACAGUCUGUCGUUGAGAUAAUAAAAUUGUCUACGUUCAAGACAUGACCGUUUCAUGAUAGAAACCAGUGAUGAAUUCGUACCUAAUGCAGAUACCAUCUAAGAAAAUUCUGGUUAAUGAUAUGCUUAAUUCCGUAGGGAAGUCAUGGAGAGGUUCGUGUGUGUCCGCAAAGGAUCGCCACAGGGUGGCUUUUGCAUUCCGUGAGUCCUGUCUGACAAAAUGAUCUACUUGAGGAUUGAAUGCAGUGAUUUGAAGGGAGAGAAUUGCAAAGUGCUGUAUUGGUGAUCGAAGUAUUUACAAGGCUGGCAGUCGCAUUGGGAAUGUCCAUGACGAUCUGUCAACAUUUCAGGUUAUGUUGACGGGUCGUGAUGGGCACUCUCACUGUCUCAUGCUGAUGAUGAUUCGUGGGUGCUGUUACGUUGUGGUCUACUCCGAGAAUGACAACGUUCUGAGGAAGUGAUCAACUUGGUCACAGUCUCAGAUACGCUUCUGACUUCAAUAAAGAAAUAAACAAGCAGUAAGUAUCUCUCAUCUUGAGAUCCUGCUCAAAGAAUGCAAUCUAACUCGGAGCUCAAUUCCAUAGUCGAUUUGAGGAUUUUAGACGUUGAUUGAUCACAGACCAGCCGCUAAAAACACUUACGCUGUGUUCUUGGGGAUAUGGUAAUGCAUUGUAACAUGCUCAUCGAUUUCUCCGAAACAUAGUUGUCUUCUAAUAUUUGAUUGUGGAGAUUUCAUACGUGAAAGAUACAAUAUCUCUCCGCAGAUGAUCUCUCUGCCAGGCAUGUUGCACGAUCACAGCCGACCCUCCAACCAGUUCUGGAGGACUUCAAAGGGGGCAUCUAAACCUGACGACAAACAAAUUGUGGUAUGGGCAUUCAUGUUAUCACCCCAAACAGCAACUCCAGGAAACUAGGAAACUUCAUUACAUGCUAAUACUUACUGAUACCACCCUCCCACAUUAUCCAAGUUAUGUAUAGAAACUAUGCGGAACUACGCACAACAAACUGUCGGUGCAAAAACGCCACAAUUCAAACUGUCAGAAGAAUUCAUGUGACCAUCAAGUUGUGUACAUGGCACGUCCACACCCAUUUGAACAUCUACAUGAAAACCAGAUCCGGAACGUUCGCCUCACGAUGGCAACUAGGAGCGGCGGACUGACCAGCGGUCGAAGUGUCGUGUUGUCAAGAUUGCGGUGCAAACCUUCAAGUCUGGAAGAAAAGGAGUGUUGAUCUGAACCAGCCUGCAUAGACGUGCGGUGGGUUCUUCUAGAUCGCUACACUGAUUUACAUCUGGUACCGUAGCAGACGAAUACAGUUUAUCUGCAUGUCCUGUGGGCUGAACCCAUCUUCCUAUUUGGAGUGGAACCUGCAGAAAGACUCCGUAAUUGGCGACUUUCGUGUCCAGUACUGCAAUGCGAUUGGUGCAAGUCCAGCUCUUCAGGAAAGUUUCUUCAUGACAACUGAACAUGAAUUCAAUGCAAUGCAUAGAAUGUCGUGAACGGAAAGAGAAGAUUUUGAUGAUACUAGCAGCCCAUUCAUGGAGCUCCAGCAGUUUACAGAGAUGAAAAGAAGAAAGAAGAAAUAUGAUGUGAAUGAUCAUAUGUCAAGGGAUUAAAGGUGUUGUGAUUGAGAUGCUGUUAGGUUUUCACCUACAUAAUUGAAUGAUAAAAGGCAUUGAGAAAGUUGACAAAACACAAUUAAUGAGGAGAAUCUGAAAUUUGCAACAAUACGGUUCCGCACGGAACAACUUCCAGAGAAGAAAAAACCAAAUACAUCAGAAGGCAAAAAUCAAAUUUCUUUCAGGGACUAUGCCUCCAGAAACUAGCAAGGCCGCCGUAGGGGGGGUUGCCACCCCACCUUAAUUCCCACAUUCGUUGCAGGUAUGAAUUAGACUCCACACAAUAACAGAUGGGACAUCUUUAACACUAUCCACUUCAAGGCAUAUCUUGAACUAUAGAUUUUAAAAUGAAGUAGAUACAAUUAAGUUAUAGUUCGAAAUAAAUCCACAUAUAACAUUAAUAAUAUUAUUAUUUUUUGUCA